CAGUAGCCACGGUAAUACGGAGGGGGCUAGCGUUGUUCGGAAUUACUGGGCGUAAAGCGCACGUAGGCGGCUUGGUAAGUUAGAGGUGAAAGCCCGGAGCUCAACUCCGGAAUUGCCUUUAAGACUGCCGAGCUAGCAGGUGAGAGAGGUAAGUGGAAUUCCGAGUGUAGAGGUGAAAUUCGUAGAUAUUCGGAAGAACACCAGUGGCGAAGGCGGCUUACUGGCUCAUACUGGACGCUGAGGUGCGAAAGCGUGGGGAGCAAACAGGAUUAGAUACCCGCGUAGUCCCUGUCUCUUAUAC
rnacentral:rRNA from 1 species